GUGGCUGGACGUAUAGUCGGGAAACCCUUCAGGAACCUUUACCAUUCGGUAAGGGGAGUUCUUCGGAACUCUAAGUCA
rfam:Legionella waltersii strain ATCC 51914 Lwal_ctg004, whole genome shotgun sequence.